UACGGAGGGCGCGAGCGUUAAUCGGUAUUACUGGGCGUAAAGCGCGCGUAGGCUGUUGUGUAAGUUGGGGGUGAAAUCCCACGGCUCAACCGUGGAACAGCCCUUGAUACUGCGCGACUUGAAUCCGGGAGAGGGUGGCGGAAUUCCAGGUGUAGGAGUGAAAUCCGUAGAUAUCUGGAGGAACAUCAGUGGCGAAGGCGGCCACCUGGACCGGUAUUGACGCUGAGGCGCGAAAGCGUGGGGAGCAAACAGG
rnacentral:rRNA from 1 species